rnacentral:miRNA from 1 species
CAACAGAAGUUUAUUUUUUCACACCUUUGGAGGCUGGAAGUCCAAGAUCAAGGUGUUGGCAGGGUUAGUUUCUCCUGAGGCCCCUCUCCUCAGCUUGCAGACGGCUGCCUUCUCACUGUGUUCUCACAUGGCCUC